rnacentral:rRNA from 1 species
AACGAACGCUGGCGGCAGGCUUAACACAUGCAAGUCGAACGCCCCGCAAGGGGAGUGGCAGACGGGUGAGUAACGCGUGGGAACAUACCCUUUUCUACGGAAUAGCUCUGGGAAACUGGAAUUAAUACCGUAUACGCCCUACGGGGGAAAGAUUUAUCGGGGAAGGAUUGGCCCGCGUUGGAUUAGCUGGUUGGUGGGGUAAAGGCCUACCAAGGCGACGAUCCAUAGCUGGUCUGAGAGGAUGAUCAGCCACAUUGGGACUGAGACACGGCCCAAACUCCUACGGAAGGCAGCAGUGGUGAAUAUUGGACAAUGGGCGCAAGCCUGAUCCAGCCAUGCCGCGUGAGUGAUGAAGGCCUUAGGGUUGUAAAGCGCUUUCACCGAUGAAGAUAAUGACGGUAGUCGGAGAAGAAGCCCCGGCUAACUUCGUG